rnacentral:rRNA from 1 species
UACGUAGGGUGCGAGCGUUGUCCGGAAUGAUUGGGCGUAAAGAGCUCGUAGGCGGUCUGUCGCGUCGAAUGUGAAAACCCGGGGCUCAACUCCGGGCUUGCAUUCGAUACGGGCAGGCUAGAGUUCGGUAGGGGAGUCUGGAAUUCCUGGUGUAGCGGUGAAAUGCGCAGAUAUCAGGAGGAACACCGGUGGCGAAGGCGGGACUCUGGGCCGAUACUGACGCUGAGGAGCGAAAGCGUGGGGAGCGAACAGG